GAAUAACAGAACAUCGUCUGGGUGGAGAGGGAGGGACUGCUGUUGAUGUCUGAGGGAACGUGAUUUAUGAUUCCUUCAUGGAAACAAAUUACUAACAUCACUCCCAUCCAGACCAGCUCCAGAGGAGUUUAGCUGGGGGGGAAUGGAUUAUUUUGAGGGGCAGAGUAAACAGGCUUUUAAUUUACAUAAACAAGUGUUUAUGUAAUGUUUCAAUAAAAGAACCAUAUUUAUUAAAACAACAAAUAAUUCUGAUGUAAACUUGACAUGUAUAAAAUUCUGACUUAAGCUGACUUAUUAUGCUGAAAUUAGCAUAAACAUUAGCUUAUAUGUUGCAGAAAUCUUAGAGUCUAAUGUUUCCAGUGCCUGAAGUCCAUUUCUUCUACUCAGAGGGCACAGAUGCAGGAACUGAGGGAGCCCCUACUGUAUCAAAUUAAGAUGAAAUAACAGAAAGUUGGCCACUCUGAGGUAAAAAAGAAAAUAAACAAAAACAGCUUCCAGUCCAGGGUGGACAAUGCCUCCCGAUGCCCGCCCAUGCUGCCAGGCCUGGUCUCUCCCUUCAUCCCCAUCGUCUUAACAGAGUAGAAACAGUAAAGAGAAAACAGCAAUGACUAGAGCUAUGGCAGCCUCCCUCUGUCCGUCUGCUCCAGGGCAGCUGUGGCUACAAUGUAGCUCCCCGCCAUCAGUGUGUGAAUGACAGAAUGUAGUGUGAAGUGCUUUGGAUGAAAGGGUUGAAUGUCUCUCAAUGUGCAAAAAAUUACUGAUGUGGCUGGAAGGAGUUUGCAUUUAGCAGCUUCAUCUACCCAGAAUGCAUUGCAGCACAAACAGCAUUCCAACUUCCAAGUGACAAUAUUUUGUUUAUUUUUAGCAAAACUGAACAGGCUACAAUGUUUCCACUCUUUUUUCUACAUUUGAAAUAAAAAUUGAUCAGCCAAUUUUUU